rnacentral:rRNA from 1 species
UUCCGGUUGAUCCCGCCGGACCUGACUGCUAUCGGAUUGAUACUAAGCCAUGCGAGUCUUUGCAGUAAUGCAAGGCAUACGGCUCAGUAACACGUAGUCAACUUACCCUAUGGACGAGGAUAAUCUCGGGAAACUGAGCAUAAUACUCGAUAGAUCAUAAUACCUGGAAUGGUUUAUGGUUGAAAUGAUUCGUCGCCAUAGGAUGGGACUGCGGCCUAUCAGCUUGUUGGUGAGGUAAUGGCCCACCAAGGCGAUUACAGGUACGGGCUCUGAGAGGAGAAGCCCGGAGAUGGGUACUGAGACAAGGACCCAGGCCCUAUGGGGCGCAGCAGGCGAGAAAACUUUGCAAUGUGCGAAAGCACGACAAGGUUAAUCCGAGUGAUUUCUGCUAAAGAAAUCUUUUGCAAGUCAUAAAACCACUAGUGAAUAAGGGGUGGGCAAGUUCUGGUGUCAGCCGCCGCGGUAAAACCAGCACCUCAAGUGGUCAGGAGGAUUAUUGGGCCUAAAGCAUCCGUAGCCGGCUCUGUAAGUUUUCGGUUAAAUCCAUGUGCUCAACGCAUGGGCUGCCGAAAAUACUGCAUAGCUAGGGAGUGGGAGAGGUAGACGGUACUCGGUAGGAAGGGGUAAAAUCCUUUGAUCUAUCGAUGACCACCUGUGGCGAAGGCGGUCUACCAGAACACGUUCGACGGUGAGGGAUGAAAGCUGGGGGAGCAAACCGGAUUAGAUACCCGGGUAGUCCCAGCCGUAAACGAUGCAGACUCGAUGAUGCAUUGGCAUAUAGCCAGUGCAGUGUCGCAGGGAAGCCGUUAAGUCUGCCGCCUGGGAAGUACGUACGCAAGUAUGAAACUUAAAGGAAUUGGCGGGGGAGCACCACAAGGGGUGAAGCCUGCGGUUCAAUUGGAGUCAACGCCGG